rnacentral:lncRNA from 10 species
CCACAAGUAUUUAGAGUCCCACAACUACGAAGCUGAAUAUCAAGAGAAAAAGACAGAUUCCAAAAAUGGUCUCAAAGUACCUCCUUGUUUAAGUUGGCUGCCAGGCAAAUCAGUUCAUCUCCAGCAGAACGGAAGCUGCCUUUUCAGGGAAGCGUGGCAGCUGCCGGUGAACACAAAGCAGCUCUGUGAUGGUUGAAGCCAGGAAAGAAAACUGCCCCCUCCGAGUGGAAUCACAGGAAGGAAACCGCCGUGGGCAGCAGGAGCAAGUGCAAUCCCUGGAGAAGAGCCGAAGGGGCCCAAGGCCCCGAGAAGGGCAGGAUGCGAUGCUGGGUGUGUGACCUCAGCCAUGGAAGGGCCACCAGCCACCUGGGGGCUGGGCCAUCGGGCCUUUGGCUGUGGAGGGAAAAGCCUGGCCACUUGCUGGAGCUGGGAACGUGCAGUGAUGAGCACUAGGACAAGACUACUGUGACAGAGAGACACAGAAGAAGUCCUGUCUGUGCUCAGUGAAGAGGACACUUUAUGUCACCUCCAGGGAAGGAUGUACUGGGGUCCCAACUUCCCUUCAGGGUCCUAACACCUUCAUUCCUUAGCCAGAGCAUCAAGCAUCAAGCACCUGACUGGGAUGGCACAUUCGGACAAAACCCCACAUCCAGCUCAGGCCCAGCAGCCUCAGGAGGAAAUCUAAGGCUAGCAGGGCACUCGUGCUGUAAGAACGGGGACUGUUCACAGCGCCAGGGAGAGGUGAUCAGAACACACAAACUCACUGCUUCUGAUUGCUUUAGAACUAAGGCCCUUUGUCUCAUUAUUUCACCUCAGGUACAUUUUUGAAGGUUGCCAGGAUUCACAGAAGGGUGUAGUGGGUGAAAGGGGGACACAGCACUGCCCUAGGGGCCUCCAGAUGCGGUUUCUAGACACUCAGUAAAGUGAUGGCCUUGGCUGGUAAAUCCAUCCACUGGGAUGUCAUCCUCACAACAAAACAGGGUUUAGACCAGCAGAUCUCUGACCUUUGCGGCUUUCAGAUGAGAGACCAGUUGAUCAUGAUUGGGCUGAAUGUUGCUGAUUUCACUUGUUCAUCAUUCACUUAUUCCAUGUGUCUCUAAGCCUGGAAUGUGCGGGAGAGCUGGGGUAGCAGAGAUCCCAUGAUGUGGCUGCAGCUCUAGAGCAGCCUCCACCACAAUAAACAAACAGACACACAAUUGAUUUUGAUGAUGUUGAUAUAAUGAAGGUAACUAAGUUUAACAUUUAUCAGAAAAGUGUGACUUCUGCCUGCCACCUUACAAUUUGAAUCAUUUAGGACCAUGGCCGUAAGAGUCCACACCCAAAACCACUUACACAGCUGGGUACUUCGAGCCAAAGUAUUUCUUAACACAGCUCCUUCUGCUCAGGACCCCAAGGGAAAUCAAUAAAUAGUUCCUCAUAUGAGCAGGCAAAAUUAUACUCUUUUUCCCUUCUCUGCUAUGCUUUUGACGUGUUAUUAAACCCUGAGAUAAUUAUAGGAUCCAAUUCGGAAAUUAAGACUUCUAAAUAGUACCCUCCAAACCUGAAACGAGACUUUAAUAAACGUCUGACAAAUGCUCUGAAUGACACGUAACAUUUUUCCCACCAUCGAUAUGCGCGGUAUCACAUUUCAUCAUCUCAUCGAGGCGUGAGGUGCACAAGGGAGAGCGGUUGAGGUUCCAGAAGUUUAGUUAAUCUUCUCAAGUUCUUCCCUCUGAUACACGGUGUCUACAAAUUUCACACUUGGGUUUUUUAGUUGGAAAUGCAGUUCUGUUUGUUGAAACAAAGGACGCCAGCUGCCACACGGUUCGUGCACAGGCGGCCUUAUGUCCCGGUGAGCAUGGGACCUCCCACCAAUGGUCGGCCCCAGCAGCACAGCCUCUUGAGAUAAACCCAGCCAGUUCCCUCACGGCAGCUGCUCCAGCAGCUGAUGCUCAGUUUCCUCACCGCCCAGCUCUGCCCCGUGCUGCCUCUGCUGCCCCUCUGGCUUGUAAGAUGCUCUCUGCUGCGCUAUUUCCUGCUUGUUCUGCUGUAGGAGGCACCAGCUCUCCGCAGAGUCAAUGAGGGGUGACCGUCACUCAAUUCCAUGGGCAAAGGUGGAGGGAGAGACCUCACUUCACCAAGAAAUCCACACUCGACUGUUAUCAGAUAUCAUGGAGAGAUUCAAAAGUCAAGGGUAAUCGUUAAGUGUCCCAGAAGGUCAGGUUUGAGAACCACCGUCUUGCAAUAAACAGGGAGGAGCCCUGAACAGAGCAGCAUUUGCUGUGCUUAAUUUGCCUGAGGCAGCUGGUAUGAUGGAGAGUCCUGGAGGCUGAGGCUUGAGCAGAGCUCUCUUCCCAUUUACUCCAGCGGGAAAGGGCAGGUGAGGUGGGGGAAAGGCAGGGACCACGCCUCCUGUGCCUGCUGUCGGGGCACAGCAGAGUCCUGAAGGGAUGGCUUCUCAUUCCCAGUCGGGAACCCCUUUGGCCUCCCUGGGACCCUGUUCCUGGCUUUUCCCUCCAUCAGUUGGGAUGAGAAUGUUUAUCAAAGAAUGGUGCUUACAUGGCUUUCAGAGGUCCUUGAAGAAAAGCUGUUUUCUACGUCGUACUCAAUAUUUAUUCCCAGAGCAGGAUCGCUUGAAACUUAAAGCUGAAGACUGACACGAGACUAAAUUCCACAAGCCAUUUCACUCCCAAGUGUCCCAGCAAAUACACGUCUCAAGUGCCCGAUGUGAGCAGCUGUGCGAGUAAAGGUGAUGCACGUCCUCUCCAACCCUUAGUGCUCCUGUGCUGAUGAAGGAUGCUGAACGCAAUCAUUAUGGUAAUGAGGAGGUGGACAGUGCAACCUCAGCUUCCCUCUGUGUUCAACAGCCUCCCACAGGGCAGGCCCCACACGUGCUGAGGCUGAGAUCCAAGACUGAUGACUCAGCAGAGCAGAGGAGCAUGUGUGUGUGAGAUAGUGUGUGUGUGUCAGAGAGAGAUUGGAUGUGUGUGUGUGUGUGUCAGAUUUCUAGUGCAUGUUUGUGACCCUGUGAGACUGUCAACGUACCUUCGUGAGUGUCUUGUGAGAGUGAGGCCGUGUUUGGUGCAAACAUGUGUGACUGUGACUGUGUAUGUGUGUUCUGGGGGAUGCAGAAGUAAGAAGAGCGAUAGAGAGAGCCUCUUACACGCUUUCCCCAGGAAAUAAUGGACACUGGAAUUUCGCCCAGUCCAUGGAUGCAUGUCUUGAUGAAGCCUCACUCUGCCCCGCAAAACUUGGGAAAGUGACGUGGCAACCCUUCAAAAUGAAAAAUGAAAUCCCUGUAAACACAGCGCUCCCGGUGAUCCUGCUCAUCGGUGCCCUGCAGGGCCUUGAUCUUGGUGGCAGCUCUUAGCUGACUGCAUGGGUUCCCUUAUCAAAGGAAAAAAAGGCAGCUAGAAAUGUUGUACAAUCUUCUUCUUACUUUAUUUUUCAGCCUGUCUUUUCAGUCCCUUUACACUUUCAGAACGUACAAUGUUGAUCACUUCAGGUAUUAAAGCAACUUAAGUAACAAAAUCAGCAUAAAAGCACAGAGAUUUCUGAAUUAACUGUUUCUGUUUUGCCUUGAAGAAAUCCCCCACAGUUGGGCACUGAGAGUUUGUUGGAAGCUCUAACCAGGAGGCUCGGCUGCCGUUUGCCACCCUCGCGGGAAGAGCAUUCCUCCUCCUUCCCUGGGGAAAGCCUCUCCCAGAAGGUUUUGCUGAGGAGCAGGGGGAGGACAGGGCUACACAGCCACCCCUUCUGCCAAAUCUCUCUGAGGAAACAAGUGGUGACAGCUCAGGUCCCCCAAAACAGCUUCUUUCAAUCCAGGACUUUCUGUAGAAGAGGUAAAUGUGUUCACUUAGGGGACAAGCAACCAUACAGAAAACAGGAAGAUGGAUGCAACUGCUGGAACAUUCCACAGAUGAGAACCUCAGGCAGGGAGUCAGGACUCAAAGCUCCAUCUUCAGGCUUUUGUCUUGAAGUGUGAUUCAAGUUUUUAAAAUAUUUUCAUCCCUUAUGGAAAUACUCAUUAAUUUUUUGGGAAAACUUGUUUUAACCGUGAGCACUGAGGAGAUAAGUUCGUGUUAGGAAGCUUGUUUGCCACAGAUUUUUCAGACCCAAGGAAGAGCUGCCAGUGGUAUCACAUCAACAUUGGUUGAGUUAUUCCAACAAUGAUGCUCAGCUGAGGCCCCAGGCAAGCAGGGGUGGAGACGAUUUUAUCCUCCACCUUGGCCUUUGUCUUUGGUCCAUUCUGUGGCACUCUGCAGUGGCAGCGGCUGCUGUUCUGUGGGGAGACAACCUACAGGGAGAAGAGACGAAGCUGAGACAGGGAAACUUGUCACUCCUAAACUGUGACCUCACUGUGACAUUUUCCUUUCUAAGAAAUGAAAAUAGUACCUGUUCUUCACUUCUCAAAAAAGACGUUGAAAUGACUGAAAAAAUUGGAAGUACUGUCUAUGAUUUGUUUCUUUAUGGAUUUUCACUUUUGUGAUCUCCCAGUUUUAAGAUUAAAGACAGAACCAAAGAGAAUAUGUCUGGUAGUACUGUGAAAAGCAUUUUACAGUCAUUUCUAACAUAUACAGUGGCCAAGAUAUUUUCAUUUCUAAAAAGAACUGCAUCUGCAAAGAGACUCUUGCCUUGAGCUUUUCCUAGCGACUCAAAUAGAGACCCAAGGUGUCUAAAACCUCUCAACUGAAGAAUGUGCGUGUCAGGGGACAAGGGGAGUGACAUUCCAGAUAUUCGUGACACCUCUGGAAAAUCAUCUUUGUCAUCUGUAGAAGGCAUCUCUUAAUGUUUCUAUGCAAACACCCACGAGCAUGUCCUAGUUUUCCUUCAGCCUCAGAAAAGCACCCAAAGAUUCUGUAGUGUUAGGCAUAUGCUACAAAGCAUUAAGAGGGAAAGAAGAUAAAACAGAUUCCACAUUGAUAUUCUGUGUGUUUUUCAUUAUUAGGUCAAGUAUAUUCAGAGUAUCAAAUUUUUGUAUUGCUUUGUAAUGAUCACGCCUUGAAUCCAGGAAGAAAUGCAUCUUCUUCAAUGGAGCUGAGAAUAAGUAUCACAGUUUAAGCUGGUUUUGAUUUGUUAUUCAUUGAAAACAAAGCAAGUUGUUGGUUUUUAAUAAAUGUUAAAACCAAUCAAUAAAAAGUAAGUUGGACUUAUGAAACGGUCCAUUUGGGACUCAUAGAAUAUAGAUGAACUAAAGUGUUUUAGCAAAGCACCUGAAAGGUCGAAAAGAUGUUGUUUCUGGAAUGGCUGGAGAUUUAAAGCACAAGUGCUAGAAAAGAAAACAAAGGAAAAUUCAAUUCGGAUUUAUCAACAACAUGAAGCCAGGAGACAUGAAGCUGGAAAAUAAGCAAGCUAAUUACCAUCAGUGAAUAAUAAAUUAGACCUCCACUAAACAGAACAACAUUUAUUUAAGUAGAAAUAAAAAUAAAAGUACUUCUUAUAUUGCCCAUAAUGUUGCACAGCCAUUUUAGUUUCUUUAUAUAUUCACUGGCUUUAUAUUAUUUUGGAAAACAUAAUAUCGGCUCUCUAUACACUGAAACAAAAAGGUACAUUUGAGGACUGUAGGAGGAUAUCACAUCCUGCCUGCACUCAGAAAAAAACAUUGCUCCUGAGGAAAAAUUGCUGCUCUUAAAUUUGCUGUUGCAUUUCUUAGCUAAGAAGCAAAGAUUCCUUAGUGGAAGGGGAACGGGACAAGGCUUAGAUGUUCCAACUGCUCUAAAAGAAAUUUAAAAAUAGAGUAAUUGUAGGUAGUAAUUCCAAAUAAUACAAAAUAUUUAAACUCUUAUUCCAGUAAAAAUGUCUUCUGUUUGUAAAGAUAAAGUAGAAUUUUGAGUUUAAAUUGUUGAAAAUUAAUGUUGAAUUGUUUUUUAAAUACAUUGAGAAAGACACAUGUCCCAUUUUG